AGUUUAGUAGUUUAAAAAAAAUAUUAAAUUGCAAGUUUAAAGUUGUAAAGUUAAAAUUUAAUUAAACUU
rnacentral:tRNA from 1 species